GUGAAGGCGGGGGCAGCGGGCGGGGGAAGAGGGGGGGGGCGGGGGUUGGUCGGGAGUAGUGGGCGCGAAGGGCGCGGAGGCGGGCUGUGGGGGCAGCUGUGAAAUCCCGGGGCUUAAGCCCGGGGGGGCAGGGGGUACGGGGUGGCUGGAGGCAGGCAGGGGAGAACGGAAUUCCCGGUGUAGCGGUGAAAUGCGCAGAUAUCGGGAGGAACACCGGUGGCGAAGGCGGUUCUCUGGGCCUGUUCUGACGCUGAGGAGCGAAAGCGUGGGGAGCGAACAGGAUUAGAUACCCCUGUAGUC
rnacentral:rRNA from 1 species